rnacentral:rRNA from 1 species
CGAUGUCUACUAGUUGUCGGGUCUUAAUUGACUUGGUAACGCAGCUAACGCGUGAAGUAGACCGCCUGGGGAGUACGGUCGCAAGAUUAAAACUCAAAGGAAUUGACGGGGACCCGCACAAGCGGUGGAUGAUGUGGAUUAAUUCGAUGCAACGCGAAAAACCUUACCUACCCUUGACAUGUACAGAACGCCGAAGAGAUUUGGUGGUGCUCGCAAGAGAACUGUAACACAGGUGCUGCAUGGCUGUCGUCAGCUCGUGUCGUGAGAUGUUGGGUUAAGUCCCGCAACGAGCGCAACCCUUGUCAUUAGUUGCUACGAAAGGGCACUCUAAUGAGACUGCCGGUGACAAACCGGAGGAAGGUGGGGAUGACGUCAAGUCCUCAUGGCCCUUAUGGGUAGGGCUUCACACGUCAUACAAUGGUACAUACAGAGGGCCGCCAACCCGCGAGGGGGAGCUAAUCCCAGAAAGUGUAUCGUAGUCCGGAUUGUAGUCUGCAACUCGACUACAUGAAGUUGGAAUCGCUAGUAAUCGCGGAUCAGCAUGUCGCGGUGAAUACGUUCCCGGGUCUUGUACACACCGCCCGUCACACCAUGGGAGCGGGUUCUGCCAGAAGUAGGUAGCUUAACCGUAAGGAGGGCGCUUACCACGGCAGGGUUCGUGACUGGGGUGAAGUCGUAACAAGGUAGCCGUAUCGGAAGGUGCGGCUGGAUCACCUCCUUUCUG